UAAGAGAUCCUGCACCGAAAAUGUAACGGGGCUCAAAUCAUUUACCGAAGCUUUGACAAUUACUUUGUAAUUGGGUAGCGGAGCGUUCUGUAAGCCUGUAAAGGUGAUGCGUAAGCAUUGCUGGAGGUAUCAGAAGUGCGAAUGCUGACAUGAGUAACGAUAAGAAAUGUGAAAGACAUUUCCGCCGAAAUCCUAAGGUUUCCUGCGUAAAGCUAAUCUGCGCAGGGUUAGUCGGCCCCUAAGGCGAGGGCGAAAGCCGUAGUCGAUGGGAAGCAGGUUAAUAUUCCUGCACCAGCUGGUAGUGACGGAUGAAGUAAAUUGUAAGUUCUUACUGGAUUGAGCUUGCAGUGAAUUUGUCCCUGGAAAUAGCUCCAGCAUUAGACCGUACCAAAACCGACACAGGUAGGAGGGUAGAGAAUACCAAGGCGCUUGAGAGAACUAUGUUGAAGGAACUCGGCAAAUUACACUUGUAACUUCGGGAUAAAAGUGACCUGCUAUUGGGCAACCAGUAGGAGGUGGCACAGAAGAGGGGGUAGCGACUGUUUACUAAAAACAUAGCACUAUGCAAAGUCGAAAGACGACGUAUAUGGUGUGACGCCUGCCCGGUGCCGGAAGGUUAAUAGGAGGGGUGCAAGCCCUGAAUUGAAGCCCCGGUGAACGGCGGCCGUAACUAUAACGGUCCUAAGGUAGCGAAAUUCCUUGUCGGGUAAGUUCCGACCUGCACGAAUGGCGUAACGAUUUCCCCACUGUCUCCAACAUAGACUCAGUGAAAUUGAAUUCUCGGUUAAGAUGCCGAGUAACCGUGGUUAGACGGAAAGACCCCGUGCACCUUUACUGCAGCUUUGUAUUGGUAUUAGGGAACAGAUGUGUAGCAUAGGUGGGAGACUUUGAAGGAGUGGCGCUAGCCAUUCUGGAGUCACUAGUGAAAUACCACUCUUCUGUUCCUUGAUGCCUAACCAUACACCGUCAUCCGGUGUUGGGACCAUGCAUGGUGGGCAGUUUGACUGGGGCGGUCGCCUCCCAAAGAGUAACGGAGGCGCGCGAUGGUAGGCUCAGAACGCUUGGAAACCGUUCGUCGAGUGCAAUGGCAUAAGCCUGCCUGACUGCGAGACCCACAAGUCGAGCAGAGACGAAAGUCGGUCAUAGUGAUCCGGUGGCACUUCGUGGAAGGGCCAUCGCUCAACGGAUAAAAGGUACGCCGGGGAUAACAG
rnacentral:rRNA from 1 species